UAUUUGUUGCUGUGGGAGGGAUGGUACCCUGCUCAUGUAGGUCCUGGGUAUUUGUUGCUAUGGGAGGGAUGGUACCCUGCUCAUAUAGGUCCUGGGUAUUUGUUGCUAUGGGAGGGAUGGUACCCUGCUCAUGUAGGUCCUGGGUAUUUGUUGCUAUGGGAGGGAUGGUACCCUGCUCAUGUAGGUCCUGGGUAUUUGAACUCUGUUCCUCAGGCUUGUAGGGCAGGUUCUUUACCCAAUACUCUAUCCAAUACUCUAUUUCCUCAGCCCCAUCUUCUUUCUCUUUUUAUGUUUGUCUCUCUUCCCUACCAUCCUUCUUUAUUAUUUUCUUCAAGUUCUGAUCAAUUAUCUGUUUUUAAAAG